rnacentral:lncRNA from 1 species
UUCCCGGCCUCCGUUUGAUGCAAUUUUUAUAUCACCGUGAUCACCAUUCUUUUCUCUACAGGUUGACCGGAGCCGAAUCACCAAAACACGAACCUCGUCGGAGAGCCGCCGCACCCGAGAGCGCCGCCGCCGGUAAGCUCCGUUUUUCCGUGAUUUUUUGGCCCCCCGAGGGCCCUAGGGUUGUUUUCUCACAGGGACCGAUGCGAGUGUGGCCGAAUUCGGCCGGAAACAGCCAACCCGAGGCGGCUCGCCGCCGCCGGCGGCGGCGGCGUCGCCGGAGCACGGCGGAGCCGCCGUGCCGGAGUUGCGAUUUGGGCCGAAAGGGGCCCUGGGCCUAAUUUGGGAUUUUUUUGGAACACGUGCAGGUACCAGUAGUGCGUUUCAGUUCCCCGAGGAAAAUUCAGGAAAAAUUAGGGAUAGCCUGCAAGCGCACUGCAAAGCCGUGUUCGGACCCCGAAAACGAGUAAGGACCCCU